GGCGGCGUCGGCGGGGGUCACCUGCGCGGCGCCGCUCGCGACGGGGGGCUCCGGCGUUUCCGGCUGCGCCACGUCGUUG
rnacentral:tRNA from 1 species